GAUGAAGAACGUAGCGAAAUGCGAUAAGUAGUGUGAAUUGCAGAAUUCAGUGAAUCAUCGAAUCUUUGAACGCACAUUGCGCCCUGUGGGAUUCCGCAGGGCAUGCCUGUUCGAGCGUCAUUGACACCCUCAAGCUCUGCUUGGUCUUGGGCGUUUGUGCCUGCCGUUGCGCAGGGACUCGCCUCAAACUCAUUGGCAGCCUGCCUUUGCCGGUCUUUGCACAGCACAGUCGUGCCAAAGCCGCGGUGAGCAGGCGCUCCCCAAGCCCUUUUCAGCUUGACCUCGGAUCAGGUAGGAAUACCCGCUGAACUUAAGCAUAUCAAUAAGCGGAGGA
rnacentral:misc_RNA from 1 species